GACGAACGCUGGCGGCGUGCUUAACACAUGCAAGUCGAACGGAAAGGCCCUGCUUUUGUGGUGUGCUCGAGUGGCGAACGGGUGUGUAACACGUGAGUAACCUGCCCUUGACUUUGGUAUAACUUCAGGAAACUGGGUCUAAUACCGGAUAGGCGCUCCUUCUGCAUGGUGUGGGUUGGAAAGUUUCGGCGGUUGGGGAUGGACUCGCUGCUUAUCUGUUUGUGGGUGGGGUAGUGGCUUACCAAGGCUUUGACGGGUAGCCGGCCUGAGGGGGUGACCGGCAAAAUUGGGACUGAGAUACGGCCAAGACUCCUACGGGAGGAAGAAGUGGGGAAAAUUGAAAAAGGGGCGGAGGCCUGAUGAAGGAACGCGGGGUGCGGGAUGACGGCCUUCGGGUGGUAAACCGCUUUGGCAGGUGACGAGGCGUGAGUGACGGUAAUGGGUAAAGAAGCACCGGCUAACUACGUG
rnacentral:rRNA from 1 species